rnacentral:rRNA from 1 species
AGAGUUUGAUCCUGGCUCAGGAUAAACCCUUGCGGCGCACAUAAGACAUGCAAGUCGAACGAACUUAACCCUUGCUUGCAAGGGAGCGGUUAGUGGCGGACUGGUGAGUAACACGUAAGAAAUCUGCCUAUCAGAGGGGAAUAACAGUGAGAAAUCACUGCUAAUACCGCAUAUGCCAUAGGGUUCGCAUGAACCUAGUGGGAAAGGAGCAAUCCGCUGAUAGAUGAGCUUGCGUCUGAUUAGCUAGUUGGUGGGGUAAAGGCCUACCAAGGCAACGAUCAGUAGCCGGACUGAGAGGUUGAACGGCCACAUUGGGACUGAGAUACGGCCCAGACUCCUACGGGAGGCAGCAGUCGGGAAUAUUGCGCAAUGGAGGAAACUCUGACGCAGUGACGCCGCGUAUAGGAAGAAGGUUUUCGAAUUGUAAACUAUUGUCCACAGGGAAGAAAAAAGACUGUACCUGUGAAGAAAGCUCCGGCUAACUACGUGCCAGCAGCCGCGGUAAUACGUAGGGAGCAAGCGUUAUCCGGAUUUAUUGGGUGUAAAGGGUGCGUAGACGGGAUUACAAGUUGGUUGUGAAACCCCUCAGCUCAACUGAGGAACUGCAACCAAAACUAUAAUUCUUGAGUGCAGGAGAGGAAAGUGGAAUUCCUAGUGUAGCGGUGAAAUGCGUAGAUAUUAGGAAGAACACCGGUGGCGAAGGCGACUUUCUGGACUGUAACUGACGUUGAGGCACGAAAGUGUGGGGAGCAAACAGGAUUAGAUACCCUGGUAGUCCACACUGUAAACGAUGGAUACUAGGUGUAGGAGGUAUUAAGCCUUCUGUGCCGUCGCUAACGCAGUAAGUAUCCCACCUGGGGAGUACGACCGCAAGGUUGAAACUCAAAGGAAUUGACGGGGGCCCGCACAAGCAGUGGAGUAUGUGGUUUAAUUCGAAGCAACGCGAAGAACCUUACCAGGGCUUGACAUACAGAUGAAUGUCUAAGAGAUUAGGCAGUAUUUCGGUACAUCUGUACAGGUGGUGCAUGGUUGUCGUCAGCUCGUGUCGUGAGAUGUUAGGUUAAGUCCUGCAACGAGCGCAACCCCUAUACUUAGUUGCCAGCAUGUAAAGAUGGGAACUCUAGGUAGACUGCCGGUGAUAAAUCGGAGGAAGGUGGGGACGACGUCAAAUCAUCAUGCCCUUUAUGUCCUGGGCUACACACGUACUACAAUGGCUAUAACAAAGAGAAGCGAGACGGAGACGUUAAGCGAAACCCAAAAAAGUAGUCUCAGUUCGGAUUGAAGGCUGAAAUUCGCCUUCAUGAAGCCGGAAUUGCUAGUAAUGGCAGGUCAGCAUACUGCCGUGAAUACGUUCCCGGGCCUUGUACACACCGCCCGUCA